rnacentral:rRNA from 1 species
GAUGAACGCUAGCUACAGGCUUAACACAUGCAAGUCGAGGGACCGGCGCACGGGUGAGUAACACGUAUCCAACCUGCCCUUUACUCGGUGAUAGCCUUUCGAAAGAAAGAUUAAUACCCGAUGUAAAGGAUGGGGAUGCGUUCGAUUAGGUUGUUGGUGAGGUAACGGCUCACCAAGCCUUCGAUGGAUAGGGGUUCGGAGAGGAAGGUCCCCCAGAUGUGAACUGAGACCCGGUCCAAACUCGUACGGGAGGCAGCGGUGAGUAAUAUUGGUCAAUGGGCGUUAGCCUGAACCAGCCAAGUAGCGUGAAGGAGGAAGGCGUAGGGGUCUUAAACUUCUGUUAUAUAAGAAGAUGUAUUAUAUGAAGAAGGAUCGGCUAACUCCGUGCCAGCAGCCGCGGUAAUUC